CAAACGACUCUCGGCAACGGAUAUCUCGGCUCACGCAUCGAUGAAGAACGUAGCAAAAUGCGAUACUUGGUGUGAAUUGCAGAAUUCCGUGAACCAUCGAGUUUUUGAACGCAAGUUGCGCCCGAAGCCUUUUGGCUGAGGGCACGUCUGCCUGGGUGUCACAC
rnacentral:rRNA from 1 species